rnacentral:lncRNA from 1 species
ACAUAUUCACAAAUUAAGUUUUCUUUCACAUUGUGCCUCAAGUUCUUCUUAACUUAGGGGGCCAUAUCUUGACAUCACAUACUCAACUUUUAAUGAACAUUAAAUUCAUACAAUGAACCAUCACAAAGAUGGAUCAAGAUAGCAUCUUUAAACCUAAGGAGAAGAAACUCAAACAAAACUAUUAUGAUUGUGACUGAAACUAUUUCAUUGCAAUUCUCGUGAAUAUGUUAAAGAACUUUCAACAAUCAAAACUCUCAUUGAAAAAUUGAAAACCAAAAGCACUUAUGCCACAGCUAAUAUCCGAACAUGAACGCGUAAAGUUAUCAUUCAUAAAAAUAAACCAAAACCAACAAAUGAAAUUAAGUUAAAGCUUUGGACUUCAUGCUUCAUUCAAAGAGAUCGGGAAAAAAAACUACAUUACAAAGUUAAGAAGAAUACCUAGGCCGCGGAUUCGAAAGCAAACAAAAGUGAUGAACUUUAUCCAAACUCGCAGCUAUCAAACACAGCUCAAAACCAACAGCAACAUCAGCAAACGAACCAGUAAAACCAAAACAGAAACCGGCAAGAAAGAAACCGAAGCAAAAGUUUUCUUUUUCGCCCGAGGAAGACUAUUAAAAAGUGAUGUUUUUGCUCAGAAGAAUUCUUUUUCUUUUUGCUCUCAGCUUUAUGCUCUCUUUGUUGUGUUUACUUAGAGUGAAAGAUGUCUCCUUAGUGUGUGUAGAUUGUGUGUCCAUGAAGUGAGGAAAGAGCUUUUUGGGACAGAUUUUGGUUCACUAAAGAUCAUGUUUAAUCAAUAUCAAUCUAACAAACAACUAAACUAAAUAGAGAUAACUAAUUAAAUAAACCUAACUUGAAACUGUAAUUAACAAGAAACAACCAAAAUAAAAAAAAUCAAAAAUCAGAAACUAAUCUACUAAAAAAAUCAGAAAUUAAUUAAAGAGAUGACGAUUAUACCUAACGAGUGUGCUUGAAGUUGUUCGAGCCACGAGAAGACGUCGGAGAUGCCAAGAAGUGGUUGGCCGACCAUGGAACACUUAUUUCAUUUCCGUAGACACCAAAUUCAAUUAUCUUUGUGUCAUGCCAAAAGGAAAUGAGUGUUCUUGGGUCAGAAUUAGGCUAAAAUAGAGGAGAAGUGAUGCGUCAGUAGCGGUGCGGCAGCGGCAGUGGCAGUGGUGCGUCGAAAUUCCGGCCGCCGGAGUUUUGGGUCAAGAUCAAUAUGAAAAGAUAGUCCCCGCUGAGCUCUAUCUAUGUAUGUGAAAAUUAGGUGGAAAGGGUGGCUCAAUCUUCAUGAUUUUAAGAAAAGGGUAGCGGGUGUGAUUUCUUAGAUCUACUAUUCGUGGAGUUUGAGGGGGUUUUGAAAGAUUUGGUUUGAAGAUAUGGAAAGAGGAGGUAUUGGAGAUUACAUAUUUGGGGUCAUUUGGAGGUUAGCCGCCGCCGGUGGCGAAUUCCGGCGGCGCCGCCGCCGUGGACGGCUUGCAGCAUCAGAGAGGAAGCGAGAGAGUGAGGAGAGGAGUUUAGGGUUUGGGUUCGGUGUAAAUGAGGGCAAAAAAUCUGA